AAUUACUCCACCGAAGCUGGAUGCAGCCAAAGAUGCUCCCGGUGCGACUCCACUUCCCCCAACAAGAUAUCCAACUGGAGAAGAUGCCAGCAGGCAACCUAGAAGAACUGCUUCUACACCAACCGAGAAAGCAGUUCGCGGUGGCAGAGAUGACUUUACAGAAUCUAAGAGUGUUGAUUCCACACCAUCCAGAGAGCAACCUUCAGAUGUUCGGCGAGCUGCUGCUUCCCUCCCAAAGCAAGAAGCAGCUGAUUCUCGUAGCACACCUUUGCCAUUCCAAAGGAGGUACCCUGAUGUGGAACACACCACCAAAGAACCAAGAGAUAAGCCAAAGGAAUCGGUGGGCGAGGAUGCCCAAGAUAGCUUUGAAGAAACAAAGGCUCUUGACUCUUCGAUGUUUAGAGGCAGAGCACAACCGCAAGAUACUCGUCCAUCUGCAAUUACUCCAUCAAAGCUGGAAGAUGUCAGAGAUGCUCUAGGUGCAACCCCACUUCCCCCGAGAAGAUAUCCAACUGCAGAGGACACCAGCAGGCAACCCACAAGAACUGCUUCUACACCAAUAGAGAAAGCAGUUCCAGAUGGUAGAGAUGCCAUCAGAGAAUUGAAGAUUGUUGAUUCCACAUCAUCCAGAGAGCAACCUUCAGAUGUUCGGCGAGCUCCUGCUUCCCUUCCAAAGCAAGAAGCAGCUGAUUCUUAUAGCACAACAGUGCCAUUCCAAAGGAGCUAUCCUGAUAAUGAAGACACCAAAGAACCAAGAGAUAAGCCAAAGGAAAAGGUGAGCGGGGAGGCUCAAGAUGGCUUUGAUGAAACAAAGGCUCUUGACUCUUCGAUACUUAGAGGCAGAGCACAACCCCAAGAUACUCAGCGAGCUGCAAUUACUCCACCGAAGCUGGAUGCAGCCAAAGAUGCUCCCGGUGCGACUCCACUUCCCCCAACAAGAUAUCCAACUGGAGAAGAUGCCAGCAGGCAACCUAGAAGAACUGCUUCUACACCAACCGAGAAAGCAGUUCGCGGUGGCAGAGAUGACUCUACAGAAUCUAGGAGUGUUGAUUCCACACCAUCCAGAGAGCAACCUUCAGAUGUUCGGCGAGCUGCUGCUUCCCUCCCAAAGCAAGAAGCAGCUGAUUCUCGUAGCACACCUUUGCCAUUCCAAAGGAGGUACCCUGAUACUAGAGACACCACAAAAGAAUCAAGAGAUAAGCUAAAGGAAGCGGUGGGCGAGGAUGGUCAAGAUGGCUUUGAAGAAACAAAAGCUCUUGACUCUGCUAUAAUUGGAGGCAGAGCCCAACCACAAGAGACUCCAAGAGCUGCGGUUACUCCAUCAAAGCUGGAAGGAGCCAAAGAUGCUCUAGGUGUGACUCCAAUUGCCCCAACAAGGUAUCCAACUGCAGAAGACACGAGCAAGCAAUCCACAAGAACUGCUUCUACACCUUCAGAGAAAGCAGUUCCAUAUGGUAGAGAUGCCUUCAUAGAAUCGAAGAGUGUUGAUUCCACAUCAUCCAGAGAGCAACCUUCAGAUGUUCGGCGAGCUGCUGCUUCCCUGCCAAAGCAAGAAGCUGCUGAUUCUCGUAGCACAACUAUGCCAUUCCAAAGGAGGUACCGUGAU
rnacentral:lncRNA from 1 species